CGGAGGGUGCAAGCGUUAUCCGGAUUCACUGGGUUUAAAGGGUGCGUAGGUGGGCAGUUAAGUCAGUGGUGAAAUCUCCGGGCUCAACCCGGAAACUGCCAUUGAUACUAUCUGUCUUGAAUAUCGUGGAGGUAAGCGGAAUAUGUCAUGUAGCGGUGAAAUGCUUAGAUAUGACAUAGAACACCAAUUGCGAAGGCAGCUUACUACCCGAAUAUUGACACUGAGGCACGAAAGCGUGGGGAUCAAACAGGAUUAGAUACCCUGGUAGUCCACGCCCUAAACGAUGGAUACCCGACAUACGCGAUACACAGUGUGUGUCUGAGCGAAAGCAUUAAGUAUCCCACCUGGGAAGUACGACCGCAAGGUUG
rnacentral:rRNA from 1 species